rnacentral:snoRNA from 1 species
UCGCUCAAGAUUUCUUAUCCCUCCAGCCUAAAUAUUGGUUUGAGUGGCUUAAAAAAAGAGGAGGAAAAGUAAAAUUGAAAUGAACUUGGAGUCUUUAGCAACAAACAAGUUCAUUUCAAAACAGA